rnacentral:rRNA from 1 species
UCUGGUGGCUAUAGCAAGGAGGUCACAGCUGUUCCCAUGCCGAACACAGAAGUUAAGCUCCUUAGCGUCGAUGGUAGUCGAAC